AGAAGAUAAGUAAGGAAAUCAUUAAUAAGAGAUAUUUUCUAUAGUUUAUUGUGAUUAGAGAUAAUUUUAAAAUUAUAAAUUAUUUAUAAUUUUUAUACAUUAGUAUGCAUAGUGAUUUUUAAGCAUCUCAUAUUCCUUAGAAUGGUGGUUAUUCUUUUUAGGUAUUUUAAAUGGCAAUCGUAACUUCUAUAAAUUUUUAUUAAUUUUAUUAGUGUAAUUAAAAUAUUGAUAUGGGAAAGUUUCUUCUCUUUUUUUGUCUGUGACUUUUUGUGUAAUUAAAAUUUUUUUUCUUAAUUUUCUUUGGUAAUGAUCUUUUAUGUAUUUUUUAUUGAUAUUAAAUGUAAUAUUAAAUGUAAUAUUAAAUAUUAUUUAUUAAAUUAGAUAGGUCAUAAAUGCAAUUAAGAUUGUGUCAAGUAAAUGAUUCUUUCCCUUUUCCAUGUGUCUUUGACUUCUUCUUCUGCUUUUUUAAUUGGGUUUGUCUCAAUUAAAUCGGGCUUUAUAUAUUAUAUAUUUUUUCUUGCAUUCUUUACGGUAACUUUCCCUUUGCUCUGAAAUUGAAACGUUCACAGAAUAUUUACUUCUUAAUUUUAUUUUUUUUUUCAUUUAUUUUAGGAUUUGUUUUUCAAUUUAUUUAUUUAUCUAUUCUUGUUAAUACACCUACUUCGAAACAAAUAAAAGUUGACUUAUUCUCUUCAUACAUGAUAUAUUGCAAUUCAUUUCUAGAACUGAAUUUUUGAGAUACAUUCCUUACAUUUUGGAAACAAAAGCUUGUUAACUGAUGAACUUUUUGAUAUUUAUUUGACUUGUCCAAUCCAAUACUCCAGUACAAUUGAUUAACAUUGAAGAUAUGAUUCCAUUACUACCUGUGCGUUUGUGUGCAAACUAUUCAUCAGUACAAUCAUCAUCAAACAAUAGUAACAUCAAUCAGAGUACAAACGAUUAAUGAGCUCUACAAAACUAAAUUCAUAGCAUGUCAUAUCAAAGAACCAUCGAGGCAGUGAAGUAGAAAUCAUAGCAUAUGAGUACAUAUUCGUGUUUUAAUAGUUGUGAAAAGAAUAGGAGAUAAAAUUAUACUAAUAA
rnacentral:misc_RNA from 1 species